GACGAACGCUGGCGGCGUGCUUAACACAUGCAAGUCGAACGGAAAGGCCCUGCUUUUGUGGGGUGCUCGAGUGGCGAACGGGUGAGUAACACGUGAGUAACCUGCCCUUGACUUUGGGAUAACUUCAGGAAACUGGGGCUAAUACCGGAUAGGAGCUCCUGCUGCAUGGUGGGGGUUGGAAAGUUUCGGCGGUUGGGGAUGGACUCGCGGCUUAUCAGCUUGUUGGUGGGGUAGUGGCUUACCAAGGCCUUGACGGGUAGCCGGCCUGGGAGGGUGACCGGCCACAUUGGGACUGAGAUACGGCCCAGACUCCUACGGUAGGCAGCAGUGGGGAAUAUUGCACAAUGGGCGGAAGCCUGAUGCAGCAACGCCGCGUGCGGGAUGACGGCCUUCGGGUUGUAAACCGCUUUCGCCUGUGACGAAGCGUGAGUGACGGUAAUGGGUAAAGAAGCACCGGCUAACUACGUG
rnacentral:rRNA from 1 species